UUUGAUAAGAGUGAGAUGUCUUUUUCUCAAAGGAUCUUUGUACUAGCUGUGAGCCAUAGUCACAUACAGAGUGAGUGCUCUUUUCCAGAGACGAUCUUUGCCGUAUAUCAGUCUUUCGUUGAAAACUAGCUAGUGUCGUUGUAAAUAGAAGUUAAAAUAACUCAUAAACAUACUGAAUAUGUCCUAAACGCUUGUGCCUUGGGAGACGUUCGCCUUUUGUUGAUACAGGACAGAACAUGUGAACAUUUGGUCUCAGAUCAGCGGUUGAACAGAGGUGUAGAAGUCGGGAGGCCAACGAUGAGAGUAUGGAAAGUUUCAGUUUCAUUUUCACGUUGGGCCCUCCUGUGGUGCAUUCAGGGAACUGCAGGUGUGUUUGUACCUCGGAAACUCAGGGUGGAGUAGCUCUGCACAGCUUCCUGUAGGUGGCGAUCUCCACGUCCAGCGCCAUCUUGAUGUUGAGCAGGUCCUGGUACUCCCUCAG